AUACGUAGGGUGCAAGCGUUAAUCGGAAUUACUGGGCGUAAAGCGUGCGCAGGCGGUUUUGUAAGACAGUGGUGAAAUCCCCGGGCUCAACCUGGGAACUGCCAUUGUGACUGCAAGGCUGGAGUGCGGCAGAGGGGGAUGGAAUUUCGCGUGUAGCAGUGGAAUGCGUAGAUAUGCGGAGGAACACCGAUGGCGAAGGCGAUCCCCUGGGCCUGCACUGACGCUCAUGCACGAAAGCGUGGGGAGCAAACAGGAUUAGAUACCCUGGUAGUCCACGCCCUAAACGAUGUCAACUGGUUGUUGGGGAUUUAUUUUCUCAGUAACGAAGCUAACGCGUGAAGUUGACCGCCUGGGGAGUACGGCCGCAAGGUUAAAACUCAAAUGAAUUGACGGGG
rnacentral:rRNA from 1 species